UACGUAGGGUGCGAGCGUUGUCCGGAUUUAUUGGGCGUAAAGCGAGCGCAGGCGGCCCGUUAAGACAGGUGUGAAAUCCCUGGGCUCAACCUAGGAAUUGCGCUUGUGACUGGCGGGCUCGAGUUCUGAAGAGGGUGGUAGAAUUUCCAGUGUAGCGGUGAAAUGCGUAGAGAUCAGGAGGAACACCGAUGGCGAAGGCAGCCCCCUGGGCCUGUACUGACGCUCAUGCACGAAAGCGUGGGGAGCAAACAGG
rnacentral:rRNA from 1 species